AAAGCGGAGGAAAAGAAACCAACAGGGAUUGCCCCAGUAACGGCGAGUGAAGCGGCAACAGCUCAAAUUUGAAAUCUGGCUCCUAGAGCCCGAGUUGUAAUUUGUAGAGGAUGCUUUUGAUGCGGUGCCUUCCGAGUUCCCUGGAACGGGACGCCAUAGAGGGUGAGAGCCCCGUCUGGUCGGAUGCCAAAUCUCUGUAAAGCUCCUUCGACGAGUCGAGUAGUUUGGGAAUGCUGCUCAAAAUGGGAGGUAUAUGUCUUCUAAAGCUAAAUAUUGGCCAGAGACCGAUAGCGCACAAGUAGAGUGAUCGAAAGAUGAAAAGCACUUUGAAAAGAGGGUUAAAUAGUACGUGAAAUUGUUGAAAGGGAAGCGCCUAUGACCAGACUUGGGCCCGGUGAAUCAUCCAGCGUUCUCGCUGGUGCACUUUGCCGGGCACAGGCCAGCAUCAGUUUGUCUUGGGGGAAAAAGGCUUUGGGAACGUGGCUCCCUCGGGAGUGUUAUAGACCAUUGCAUAAUACCCUGGGACGGACUGAGGUUCGCGCAUCUGCAAGGAUGCUGGCGUAAUGGUCAUCAGCGACCCGUCUUGAACCA
rnacentral:rRNA from 2 species